rnacentral:rRNA from 1 species
CCUACGUGUGGCAGCAGUGAGGAAUAUUGGUCAAUGGACGAGAGUCUGAACCAGCCAAGUAGCGUGAAGGAUGACUGCUCUAUGGGUUGUACACUUCUUUUAUAUGGGAAUAAAACAGGGUAUGCAUACCCUCUUGUAUGUAUCAUACGAAUAAGGAUCGGCUAACUCCGUGCCAGCAGCCGCGGUAAUACGGAGGAUCCGAGCGUUAUCCGGAAUUAUUGGGUUUAAAGGGUCCGUGUGUGGAUUGUUAAGUCAGUUGUGAAAGUUUGCGGAUCAACCGUAAAAUUGCAGUUGAAACUGGUAGUCUUGAGUACAGUAGAGGUGGGCGGAAUUCGUGGUGUAGCGGUGAAAUGCUUAGAUAUCACGAAGAACUCUGAUUGCGAAGGCAGCUCACUGGACUGCAACUGACACUGAUGCUCGAAAGUGUGGGUAUCAAACAGGAUUAGAUACCCGAGUAGUC